rnacentral:rRNA from 1 species
AGUUAGUCACGUAGUUUGAUCCUGGCUACAGAACGAACGCUGGCGGCAUGCCUAACACAUGCAAGUCGAACGAGACCUUCGGGUCUAGUGGCGCACGGGUGCGUAACGCGUGGGAAUCUGCCCUUGGGUUCGGAAUAACAGUUGGAAACGACUGCUAAUACCGGAUGAUGACGUAAGUCCAAAGAUUUAUCGCCCAAGGAUGAGCCCGCGUAGGAUUAGCUAGUUGGUGAGGUAAAGGCUCACCAAGGCGACGAUCCUUAGCUGGUCUGAGAGGAUGAUCAGCCACACUGGGACUGAGACACGGCCCAGACUCCUACGGGAGGCAGCAGUGGGGAAUAUUGGACAAUGGGCGAAAGCCUGAUCCAGCAAUGCCGCGUGAGUGAUGAAGGCCUUAGGGUUGUAAAGCUCUUUUACCCGGGAUGAUAAUGACAGUACCGGGAGAAUAAGCUCCGGCUAACUCCGUG